rnacentral:rRNA from 1 species
GACGAACGCUGGCGGCGUGCUUAACACAUGCAAGUCGAGCGAGGCCCACCUUUCGGGGUGGUGUCCUAGCGGCGAACGGGUGAGUAACACGUGGGCAACCUGCCCCCGGCUCGGGGAUAACCCCAAGAAAUUGGGGCUAAUACCGGAUACGACCGCUGACCGCAUGGUCUGGUGGUGGAAAGAUUUAUCGGCUGGGGAUGGGCCCGCGGCCUAUCAGCUUGUUGGUGGGGUAGUGGCCUACCAAGGCGACGACGGGUAGCCGGCCUGGGAGGGGGACCGGCCACACUGGGACGGAGACACGGCCCAGACUCCUACGGGAGGCAGCAGUGGGGAAUAUUGCGCAAUGGGCGAAAGCCUGACGCAGCGACGCCGCGUGGGGGAUGACGGCCUUCGGGUUGUAAACCUCUUUCAGCAGGGACGAAGCCCGCAAGGGUGACGGUACCUGCAGAAGAAGCACCGGCCAACUACGUGCCAGCAGCCGCGGUAA